UACAGAGGUCUCAAGCGUUGUUCGGAUUCAUUGGGCGUAAAGGGUGCGUAGGCGGCGCGGUAAGUCGGGUGUGAAAUCUCGGGGCUUAACUCCGAAACUGCAUUCGAUACUGCCGUGCUUGAGGACUGGAGAGGAGACUGGAAUUCAUGGUGUAGCGGUGAAAUGCGUAGAUAUCGUAAGGAAGACCAGUGGCGAAGGCGGGUCUCUGGACAGUUCCUGACGCUGAGGCACGAAGGUCAGGGGAGCAAACGGG
rnacentral:rRNA from 1 species